GUGACAACAACUUGUCACCUUUUGGGCCUCCUUCUGGCUGAAGACAUCAGCAUUCAAAGUAGUGCAAGAGUCUGGAAGAACACUUCUGCACUGUCCUCAGGGGAUGCCCUGGUCCCUGGCAUGCUCUGCAUAAUAACUGGAGGAAGGGAUGAUAUACAUCUUAUUCUUAUGCAAGGGCUGAUGAACACAGACGCUUCCAGAUUGUCUCGUCCUUCGGCAGUCACAGCCCAGAUACCAAAAUAUGACUCCCAAAGAGCAACACUGCACCGGGAAUUAAUGCUAUCAGCUCUGUCUAUGGGAGAAUAGCUGGUCCAAUGUGCUACCAAAUAUGAAAGGACUGGGUAUGCCACAGAUUUCAGAAGAAUGCUCUGAGAUCACUGUCUGGAUAGUCACUGCUCAGCUCUCAUACUAUCUCUUGAAAUGACUACAAAGAUGAACGGGGACUCAGCAAAUGCAGGAAAUACAUCCUACAGGAGACAGCAUAGUUCACUAAAAAGGCACCUCAUUGAGAGGUAAG